rnacentral:rRNA from 1 species
GAUGAACGCUGGCGGCGUGCCUAAUACAUGCAAGUCGAGCGAACAGAUAAGGAGCUUGCUCCUUUGACGUUAGCGGCGGACGGGUGAGUAACACGUGGGUAACCUACCUAUAAGACUGGAAUAACUUCGGGAAACCGAAGCUAAUGCCGGAUAACAUGUAGAACCGCAUGGUUCUACAGUGAAAGAUGGUUUUGCUAUCACUUAUAGAUGGACCCGCGCCGUAUUAGCUAGUUGGUAAGGUAACGGCUUACCAAGGCAACGAUACGUAGCCGACCUGAGAGGGUGAUCGGCCACACUGGAACUGAGACACGGUCCAGACUCCUACGGGAGGCAGCAGUAGGGAAUCUUCCGCAAUGGGCGAAAGCCUGACGGAGCAACGCCGCGUGAGUGAUGAAGGUCUUCGGAUCGUAAAGCUCUGUUAUUAGGGAAGAACAAGUGCGUAAGUAACUGUGCGCACCUUGACGGCACCUAAUCAGAAAGCCACGGCUAACUACGUGCCAGCAGCCGCCGCGG